rnacentral:hammerhead_ribozyme from 1 species
AUUCACAACUGACGAGUCUCAAAUAGGACGAAAUGCGCGUGUUGAAU